AUACGGAGGGUGCAAGCGUUGUUCGGAAUGACUGGGCGUAAAGCGCGCGUAGGCGGUCUGUUAUGUCAGAUGUGAAAGUCCUCGGCUCAACCGGGGAAGUGCAUUUGAAACUGGCAGACCUGAGUACUGGAGGGGGUGGUGGAAUUCCCGGUGUAGAGGUGAAAUUCGUAGAUAUCGGGAGGAAUACCGGUGGCGAAGGCGACCACCUGGCCAGAUACUGACGCUGAGGUGCGAAAGCGUGGGGAGCAAACAGGAUUAGAAACCCGAGUAGUCC
rnacentral:rRNA from 1 species